UACGAAGGGUGCAAACGUUGCUCGGAAUCAUUGGGCGUAAAGCGCACGUAGGCGGCGUCGCGAGUCGGAUGUGAAAUACCUAGGCUCAACCAAGGACGUGCAUCCGAAACUGCGAGGCUUGAGUACAGAAGAGGAUCGCGGAAUUCCCGGUGUAGAGGUGAAAUUCGUAGAUAUCGGGAGGAACACCAGUGGCGAAGGCGGCGAUCUGGGCUGAUACUGACGCUGAGAUGCGAAAGCGUGGGGAGCAAACAG
rnacentral:rRNA from 1 species